UUCACGCAACACGCAAGCGUGUUGGAAGCGUUUUCAGGCGAAAUAGAAUAGGAAAAAGUGUUUGUGUCAUUUUGACAUGAAUACAUAUUAAUAAAAGACAUGGUGAUGUUUCAAAGUCUCUAGGUUUUGACAUCAAUGCAGUUAAAUAAGUAUUUACAGUACAG